rnacentral:piRNA from 1 species
UAUCAAAUUUUCAAAAUCUCC